rnacentral:rRNA from 1 species
UGGCGGCAGGCUUAACACAUGCAAGUCGAGCGCCCUGCUUGCAGGGAGCGGCAGACGGGUGAGUAACGCGUGGGAACAUACCUUUUGGUUCGGAAUAGCCCCGGGAAACUGGGUGUAAUACCGGAUGCGUCCUUAGGGAGAAAGAUUUAUCGCCGAAAGAUUGGCCCGCGUUAGAUUAGAUAGUUGGUGAGGUAACGGCUCACCAAGUCGACGAUCUAUAGCUGGUUUGAGAGGAUGAUCAGCCACACUGGGACUGAGACACGGCCCAGACUCCUACGGGAGGCAGCAGUGAGGAAUCUUGGACAAUGGGCGCAAGCCUGAUCCAGCCAUGCCGCGUGAAUGAUGAAGGCCUUAGGGUUGUAAAAUUCUUUCAGCAGGGAAGAUAAUGACGGUAACCAUAGAAGAAGCCCCGGCUAAUUUCGUGCCAGCAGCCGCGGUAAUACGAAAGGGGCUAGCGUUGUUCGGAAUUACUGGGCGUAAAGCGCACGUAGGCGGCCUUGUAAGUUGGGGGUGAAAUCCCGGGGCUCAACCCCGGAACUGCCUCCAAAACUACAAAGCUAGAGGAUGUGAGAGGAUAGUGGAAUUCCGAGUGUAGAGGUGAAAUGCGUAGAUAUCGGGAAGAACACCAGUGGCGAAGGCGCUCUGCUGGGCCAUCACUGACGCUCAUGGACGAAAGCCAGGGGAGCGAAAGGGAUUAGAUACCCCUGUAGUCCUGGCCGUAAACGAUGAACACUAGGUGUCGGGGGAAUCGACCCCCUCGGUGUCGUAGCCAACGCGUUAAGUGUUCCGCCUGGGGAGUACGCACGCAAGUGUGAAACUCAAAGGAAUUGACGGGGGCCCGCACAAGCGGUGGAGUAUGUGGUUUAAUUCGAUGCAACGCGAAGAACCUUACCAGGGUUUGACAUCCUGCGAACCUCUUGGAAACAGGAGGGUGCCUUCGGGAACGCAGUGACAGGUGGUGCAUGGCUGUCGUCAGCUCGUGUCGUGAGAUGUUGGGUUAAGUCCCGCAACGAGCGCAACCCACGUCUUUAGUUGCCAGCAUUUAGUUGGGCACUCUAGAGAGACCGCCGGUGAUAAACCGGAGGAAGGUGUGGAUGACGUCAAGUCAUCAUGCCCCUUACAUCCUGGGCUACACACGUACUACAAUGCUACGGACAGAGGGCAGCAAGUUCGCGAGGACAAGCAAAUCCCAUAAACCGUGGCUCAGUUCAGAUCGUAGGCUGCAACUCGCCUACGUGAAGGAGGAAUCGCUAGUAAUCGCAGGUCAGCAUACUGCGGUGAAUACGUUCCCGGGCCUUGUACACACCGCCCGUCACACCAUGGAAGUUGGCCACGCCCGAAGCCGUUACUCCAACCCUCGGGAGGAGGAUGUCGAAGGUGGGGCUGAUGACUGGGGUGAAGUCGUAACAA